UACGUAGGGCGCAAGCGUUGUCCGGAAUUAUUGGGCGUAAAGAGCUCGUAGGCGGUCUGUCGCGUCGGCUGUGAAAACCCGAGGCUCAACCUCGGGCCUGCAGUCGAUACGGGCAGACUAGAGGUGCUGAUAGGGGAGACUGGGAAUUCCUGGAUGUAGCGGUGAAAUGCGCAGAUAGUCAGGAGGGAACACCGGUGGGCGAAGGCGGGUCUCUGGGCCGUUACUGACGCUGGAGGAGCGAA
rnacentral:rRNA from 1 species